rnacentral:misc_RNA from 1 species
UACGGGAGGCAGCAGUGGGAAUUUUGGACAAUGGGGGGAAACCCUGAUCCAGCCAUCCCGCGUGUGCGAUGAAGGCCUUCGGGUUGUAAAGCACUUUUGGCAGGAAAGAAACGGCGCAGGAUAAUGCCUCGUGCAACUGACGGUACCUGCAGGAUAAGCACCGGCUAACUACGUGCCAGCAGCCGCGGUAAUACGUAGGGUGCAAGCGUUAAUCAGGUGCUGGGCGUAAAGCGUGCGCAGGCCGGUUCGGAAAGUGUUAAUCCAGAGCUUAACUUUGGAACUGCAUUUUUAACUACCGAGCUAGAGUGUGUCAGAGGGAGGUGGAAUUCCGCGUGUAGCAGUGAAAUGCGCGUAGAUAUGCGGAGGAACACCGAUGGCGAAGGCAGCCUCCUGGGAUAACACUGACGCUCAUGCACGAAAGCGUGGGAGCAAACAGAGUUAGAAGAUACCCUCAUGGAU